GAUGAACGCUGGCGGCGUGCCUAAUACAUGCAAGUCGAGCGAAUGGAUUGAGAGCUUGCUCUUAUGAAGUUAGCGGCGGACGGGUGAGUAACACGUGGGUAACCUGCCCAUAAGACUGGGAUAACUCCGGGAAACCGGGGCUAAUACCGGAUAACAUUUUGAACCGCAUGGUUCGAAAUUGAAAGGCGGCUUCGGCUGUCACUUAUGGAUGGACCCGCGUCGCAUUAGCUAGUUGGUGAGGUAACGGCUCACCAAGGCGACGAUGCGUAGCCGACCUGGGAGGGUGAUCGGCCAAACUGGGACUGAGAGACGGCCCAGACUCCUACGGGAAGCGGCAGUAGGGAAUCUUCCGCAAUGGACGAAAGUCUGACGGAGCAACGCCGCGUGAGUGAUGAAGGCUUUCGGGUCGUAAAACUCUGUUGUUAGGGAAGAACAAGUGCUAGUUGAAUAAGCUGGCACCUUGACGGUACCUAACCAGAAAGCCACGGCUAACUACGUGCCAGCAGCCGCCGUAA
rnacentral:rRNA from 1 species